AUACCGGAUAGAUAAAGCAGAUCGCAUGAUCAGCUUUUGAAAGGCGGCGUGAGCUGUCGCUAAGGGAUGGCCCCGCGGUGCAUUAGCUAGUUGGUAAGGUAACGGCUUACCAAGGCGACGAUGCAUAGCCGAGUUGAGAGACUGAUCGGCCACAUUGGGACUGAGACACGGCCCAAACUCCUACGGGAGGCAGCAGUAGGGAAUCUUCCACAAUGGACGCAAGUCUGAUGGAGCAACGCCGCGUGAGUGAAGAAGGUUUUCGGAUCGUAAAGCUCUGUUGUUGGUGAAGAAGGAUAGAGGUAGUAACUGGCCUUUAUUUGACGGUAAUCAACCAGAAAGUCACGGCUAACUACGUGCCAGCAGCCGCGGUAAUACGUAGGUGGCAAGCGUUGUCCGGAUUUAUUGGGCGUAAAGCGAGCGCAGGCGGAAAAAUAAGUCUAAUGUGAAAGCCCUCGGCUUAACCGAGGAACUGCAUCGGAAACUGUUUUUCUUGAGUGCAGAAGAGGAGAGUGGAACUCCAUGUGUAGCGGUGGAAUGCGUAGAUAUAUGGAAGAACACCAGUGGCGAAGGCGGCUCUCCGGUCUGCAACUGACGCUGAGGCUCGAAAGCAUGGGUAGCGAACAGGAUUAGAUA
rnacentral:rRNA from 1 species